ensembl:lncRNA
GAAGUCCUGAUGAUGCUGUCCGACUGGCUGGGCUGGGCAGCGUCUCUCUCCCCCCGCCCACCACUUCAUCUUCUCCUCCUCCGUUCUCUCUGUGGCAUCUGAUGCCUUUGCUUUUGUGUUCCAACACUACAGUCAGAAGGUUUACAAACAGUUAUCAAUAUGUCUAGCGCUCGGUCGGCCGGCCGGUCGGCUCAGCCCAGGAGACCAACCAACCUAAUAAACAGCUUCAGUACACAUUCUCUUUAAUCGCACUAAAAUAACCACCAAAAAAAAAAAUCAAAUAAAACAUCAACCAAGAAGGAAAACAAAUGAAUAUAUAUCAUUAUUAUUAUGAAAUAAAAACAAUGACAACAGAACGACAGCAUCAUCGUGGUCGUCGUGGUGACGACGAUGGGAGGAGACAUGGGAUGACGGUGGGAGGAGCAGGCUGGAGUCUCUACCUUGGUUAAAUGUUACAUCAGGCCUCUGUGUUAACAAAAUAAGGAUUGUCCUUCAGAAAGUGCGGUUUUCCCCGAAGAAGACGAGAUAAUACGAAGACCCUGAGCCCCCCCCGCCCCCCUCCCCCGUCAGGAAGACACAACGCCAAAACACGGUCCCUGUAACUGACAAGUCUUUAUUAUUAGUCAUAUUAUAGACAUGGGGUUUCUCUCUGUACAUCGUAUCAAUCAGCCUCCCAAAGCAAUGUGCAUAUUAGGUUUACAGGUCAGGCCAAUAUUCUACUCUGCAUCUCAAGGUGUGAGGCUUCUAGCUGAUACAAUUCUCAGUGAUAGAACGUCUCUAUAGAAGUAAAGGAGAGAAUUCUAGAAUUCUCAGUGAUAGAACGUCUCUAUAGAAGUAAAGGAGAGAAUUCUCAGUGAUAGAACUCUAGAAUUCUCAGUGAUAGAACUCUAGAAUUCUCAGUGAU